CACGGGAUCCAUCAGGCUUUGCUUGGUGGUGAGAGUGGCGAACGGGUGAGUAAUGCGUGACCGACCUGCCCCAUACACCGGAAUAGCUCCUGGAAACGGGUGGUAAUGCCGGAUGCUCCGACUCCUCGCAUGGGGUGUCGGGAAAGAUUUCAUCGGUAUGGGAUGGGGUCGCGUCCUAUCAGGUAGUCGGCGGGGUAACGGCCCACCGAGCCUACGACGGGUAGCCGGCCUGAGAGGGCGACCGGCCACAUUGGGACUGAGAUACGGCCCAGACUCCUACGGGAGGCAGCAGUAGGAGGUCUGGGCCGUAUCUCAGUCCAAUGUGGCGGGCUCUCUCGGCGGCUACCGU
rnacentral:rRNA from 1 species